GAGAAAGUACUGUGUGCAUUUAUUGAAUUUUAGGUCUCUGCAUUAUACAUUUGAACAACCUUGAAAUAGUAUAAAUAGCUCUACAGCAUUGUAAAAGAUGGGGAUUUUAGUCCGACUUUGUUCUUAUUUACAGAAGACAUUUUUAGAAGCACGGGGAGAAAUGCAAGAUUAUUAGUUUUGUCUUAAUAUCAAACAACCCUUUUACUCAGUAUUGCGCAUAUACUUUAAAUAUUACCAGAGUAUAGUGACAAGAAUCUAAGUAAAUCUCACUUUAUGAGCACAUCCACUCACUCACAACUUUGUCUCAGACAGCACAACCAGUUUUACUAAACCCACAGACCUUGAAUUACACACAGCCUAUAAGAGUAGUUUAAAGAACAGAUUUAAAGUAUGUGCUUGCUUCAUAAAGUAUUUCUUCUAGGAUUUGUACAGACACUUUUUGCUACAUCAUAUCUCUCAUGUUUAAAAGAGUAUUGCCCCUGCCCUUCACCCCCUUUUCCCAGUUAUAUUCCAAAGUCAGAGAAACAAUGAAGGGAUACGAAAGAGCUUUUUGUCCUCCCCCUCUCUUCAGAGUACUGCGUGGGGUUAGUUUCACUAGAUUCACACUGUCUGAUGGAAACACAUUUAAAUGUGCAAACAUGUAUCAAACUUGGAUUCCCAAAAUGAAACUUUUACCCUUUCACAGAAAAAAAAUAUAGACUGCUCAUCAAAGCUAUGCUCUGUUAUGAAACUCAUCAUGCAUUUAGUGUGAUGCUAAAUAAAAGCCCAUUCAUUAUCACCCAUAAAAAUCAAUAGUUUAGAGCAGCAAUCCCCCCCCCCCCCCCCCCCCACAGUGCCACUGAGUGAGUCACUGAUAAACCUACCCAGGAAAUCCAGCUAGGUGUGCCCCAGUGAUUAUUUGUGUGCUAAAGAACAGCUUUGUUUAAAUGUAUGAGAUGAGCUUUCUUUUGUCUCUUUAAGUACCCCACUUACAUCCCCUGGUUUCCCAUACAUGCACACACACAGACACACACACACACAGACACAGUCAUCAGCAGGCUGGAAAAAGUCUCGACUCUCAGUUUGAAACAGAUCACAGAACAACUUUCUCUGUGUUCCUGGCCUCCUCCCCUUAGUGCACCGGAGAUGCCACAUUUGUGUUUUACCUGCAUUCAAGUCCUACGGUUUUGUGCAAGCAAGCAAUAUGUGGGGGAAAAAUAUGAAGAAAAGAAAAUGAUACAUGAAAUUAUGUAACAUAUUACAUAAUUAUUAGGUAUUGUAAAACAUGGCAGUGAGUGCAUAGAGUGAAGACACUGUCAUCUUGUCGUUGAUACAUAUAUAUCCACUAGAAGCCGCCCUGCUUACAUAUAGAAGAGACAUCUAUGCUUAUUUUAGGAGAAGAUUUCAUCAGACGAGUUCUUCCAGACAGUCAGAAAUUAAAUCAAGCCAACCACCAAGUUUGAGUCACACUGUAGGCCUCAGAUGUUAACGGCCCUAUUCACCCCCAGUCAAACGGAAGGGGGUAUACUGACAGCCAUCACGGAGCCAACUAUUGACACCUUUGUGCCAUUUUUCUGGCUGAGAGACAUCCCCAGCAGGCAAACACAACAGCGAAAGAAUGGUGAGCAAUCAAGAGUAAGAAGUGGUGCUUACUUGGUAUUUCCAAUUCAAAUUAUGUACUUCUGGUUCACAGCAGGUGAGAAACAGACACUGCAACAGCUAAGGCCAGUGGCAAGUAAUUAGGAGAGGACAGUUGGAGUUUGUUUGCUUACCAACUGAAAGUGGAAGACAGGCAAAUGACAGUGGUUGAUCUAAGGCAUGUCAGGGGUGACUCGCUGGUUCGGUAUGCUACUCGCAGUGUAAAAAUCUAAAGUGAGGGGAUAUGUGCAAUCAAAGCGAUGUGUCCCCUUCAUGCAAAUUAUGCAAUGCCAGCUAUGUAAUUUCACUGUAAACACAUGGCAGAGACAUCAUAUGUUUUCUUGAGUGAAAAAAAAGAAAAAGAAAAAUCAGCCCCUGUUGCUGCAGACUUCAGAAACGAUGCUUUUCAAAAUGCAAACUCCUAAGUUCAUGAACCAAACGAAGAGGUUUGAUCCACAAGUGAUGGCCAGUUCUGCUGUCAAACAUGGACUUAUCAAAAUCUUUAAAUCUAUAUGUUGCUAUGGCUACAGUGUACUUAAUCUAUUUUCACAGUCGACAUUUGAGUUCCUUGAAGCUGACAUUUAAAUACACAAGAUGAAUUUAAAACAGUGAAUUCAUCUUUGGCUUACGCAGUCUUCAGUGGAAAGAAAAAAAAGCAACUGAAUAAAUGAUUAAAACACAAUCACUAAUGUAUGUAAUGCUUUAAUAAGAAAGUCUUCUUUGAAUAAAAAUAAGUGCAGGUAUUUUGGGUGCUCCUCUGAUGGGGGGGGGGGAGAUAAUGUAACAAUGAACUUUGAUUUCGUUAUUUUGUUGAGUGAUGGGAAGCAAAAUAAAAUCAAAAAACACUUCUGGAAACACGAAACCUGCUCACUGUGCCUGCUGCAUGAAGCCUAGAUGAAAGCACUUAAAGAAGUCAAAUAUUUAAGUAUCUGCAGUUACAGCACAAACAGAAAAUGCUAAGGUAGUGGAAAAGAGAAGACAAAAGACACCAGGAGGAGUGAAAGAUUUCGUCCCAACAACAGGAAUAAAUAUUCGGUAUAUAGUUCCCCGUGUCAUUCUGUCGGGUAAACAUUACCCCUCAAAAGUUUGAGGUAAUUUUGCAAAACUCCCACUUCACAUCUGUGAAAACAUGUAUAAAACUAAAAAUGACCAAUCAAAAUAUACCCAAACUUGAGCUGGUACACUGGACUUCUCAGACAAGUCUGAAAUUAAUCAGACUUAUAACAUUCAAACACAAAAACUAAUUCAUGAAUGCAAGCAAAUAACAGUAAUUGGGAUCUUCAUUAAAAAGAAAAAAAAACUCUUUUGCAAAACAACAACUUUGAUAAUUCAUGGUUACCAACAAUAAUUAUAUUUAGAAUUAAACACAUCAUUUUUAUUAAAGAGCGUGCGCAUGCCGGUGGACUGACCAUUAGACGAACAUUAAAAAAAGAUUUUUGUAAUUGCCAAUACUGUUAAUUUAGGGCAGCUGCAGGAUAAACCUUACGCUGCGUAUAAAGUAAAGGUUUACAAAAAUGUUGCAGAUCAAAAUGUAUUAAUCAAUCAUUACUGGAAUCUAUAUCAAGGGAUCAAUCCUGUGCUCCAGUGGCAGAUUACAUCAGCAAGUGCAAGAUAGCUACCUAACUUCUAUCUAUGCAUGACAGCUAUCUCGAUAAAGUGUUGUGGCUCACACACAGUACAGAAAGAAAGAGUGCACCAGGAAAGAUGUUCCCUGUCAAAGAUUCUGGUAACUUAUUGAUAAUAAAAUAAUUAUAACCCUCGUUGUGUUUCUGGUAAUUAUCUCCUAUAUUAUAUCGGAUUAAUGACAUUUUAUUUAGCUUGCAUUUUUCCACAUUUGUGAAAAACGUUUCUCAGAUAUAUUCCACAUCUUUAAAUUAUACCAAAAAUAUCAGUUAUAGUGCUGCUAGCCUGACAACAUGACUAUAAAUAGAUUAUUUUUUUCACUGAUUUUGCUGAGAGCUGCAUGUUUCACUUGGGGAGAAAAAAACUGACACUCUGGGUCUUUAGAUGCAGAGUGCUGACUCGUGCUUCUCAGGCAGACUGCUCUAACUUAACACGAGAAGCGAACAUGGUACUGGUAAUGCAAGCAGUGCGCUCCUGACCUAUUUGAUAAUGUUAUGAAAACUGUAUCGCUGAUUAAAAAUAUUGGAUAGUUAAGAGCCUGAUAGAUCAGCCUUUAUGGGUUUUAGAGUAGUCUCAAAACACUCUUAAAAAAAAGGGAACUACCUAUUACAUGCCUGAAAAGUUAAACAGUGUGUACUGUUCUUUUCACAAACCAACAUGAUUUGGCUCUUAUGGGAACCAUUUCAUAAAGCUGCCAAUAGAAGACUAGAAACUCUGAUUUAUGAGUGAUUUACAUCUCCUAGCGCAAUGAUCUACAGGGUUUUAUCUCAUUCUUUCUGUUCUCUUUAGAGCUGGUUUGCACUUCUCAGAGUAGUAAAAAAACAAAAACAAAAAACAAAACAUUGUAUGAAUCAAUAAAUGUUUUUAUUAAGUGACAAUAUCUGGACCUGCUUCAGCCAUUUCCAAUUACCUUUUAUUUUGACUGUUUGUUUUUCAGUUAUUUUCCCAGGGGUGAUUCUCUUAUUUCAAUUUACCGGUAAUUUCUAUUCUUUGAAAAUGUUUAGGUUUAGUGUCCAUUUAAAUUAAUAUUAUAUGGACUGUAUAAAUAAAAGACAAGAUUUAGGAAAAUCAGUCCAGGUAUUACAAUAAAAUCACAUAACUUUUUGAAAGCAGCUGGUUCACAGUGUCCAGAGAUCCUGAGUUUCAAACACAUCAAAGCCUCUUCUUGACAUAACUAACAGAUAGUAAUUAAAGAUCUCUCCUCUAUAUAUUUAUUUCUAUAUAUUUAUUAGUGUUCCAAGUUCACAAAAUUGUUUCAGUUAUAGUCUUAAAUUCCCCCCAGUUUGUUUUAAUUUUAGUUAUCUAAAAUGUCUUUUUAAAACAUCUAAUCCACAGUGAAAGAAACAACAUUAAAUGUAAUGGCAUGUAAUGUAAUGUCUUCUGUUAAUGGCACAAGUUUUGUCAGCUAUGUUAACAUAACUGAAAGAGGUUUCCUAAUAAUUAUUCUUUUAAUAUGACAAACUGGUAUUAGGGAUCAUGCCAUUAGAACACAGGAGUGAAGGUAUGUAUGCCUG
ensembl:lncRNA